ACAAACUUGGUCAUUUAGAGGAAGUAAAAGUCGUAACAAGGUUUCCGUAGGUGAACCUGCGGAAGGAUCAUUAGUGAAUGAACUCGGUCAAGUUGUUGCUGGCCCUUUGGGGCAUGUGUGCACGCUCGACUCUUGUUUCUUAACCCCCUGUGCACCUUCUGUAGGCUCAGAGCUGGGCCCCAGGGUAACCUUGGGCCUUUUUAUGGGAUUGCUGUUGCUUCUUUGACAAAGCCAGCUUCCUUAUUACUCUGGUCUAUGCUCUUUUAUAUACUCCACAAAAAUGUAUCAGAAUGUUGAUCAGGCUUUUUGAUGCCUUUAACGAAAUAUACAACUUUCAACAACGGAUCUCUUGGCUCUCGCAUCGAUGAAGAACGCAGC
rnacentral:misc_RNA from 1 species